AUUGAACGCUGGCGGCAUGCCUUACACAUGCAAGUCGAACGGUAACAGGUCUUCGGAUGCUGACGAGUGGCGAACGGGUGAGUAAUACAUCGGAACGUGCCUAGUAGUGGGGGAUAACUACUCGAAAGAGUGGCUAAUACCGCAUGAGAUCUACGGAUGAAAGCAGGGGAUCGCAAGACCUUGUGCUACUAGAGCGGCCGAUGGCAGAUUAGGUAGUUGGUGGGAUAAAAGCUUACCAAGCCGACGAUCUGUAGCUGGUCUGAGAGGGCGAUCAGACACACUGGGACUGAGACACGGCACAGACUCCGACGGGAGGCAGCAGUGGGGAAUUUUGGACAAUGGGCGCAAGCCUGAUCCAGCAAUGCCGCGUGCAGGAUGAAGGCCUUCGGGUUGUAAACUGCUUUUGUACGGAACGAAAAGCCCCGGGUUAAUACCCUGGGGUCAUGACGGUACCGUAAGAAUAAGCACCGGCUAACUACGUGCCAGCCGCCGCCGUAA
rnacentral:rRNA from 1 species